CAGUGGUUCUCGCUCGGAUGCUUCAUCCCUCCUUGUUCUCCAUAGCCCGGUUUUCCCAAGGAAAACAGCAGAAGCCGCGCUGCAGAGGCAGAUGAGGAAACUGAGGCCGAGCAAGCUUGCGUGAGCUGCUGAAGGUUCACAGCGGGAAGAGAAGUGAACAUGAAGCACCUUCACGCAAUACGCGCACCACAGUCAAGGAGGCACUGGCGACACAGCAGUGGGGCAAGGGUCCCCGUCUUCAGGGAGGUUACCUCCGCACGGGCGCAUGUGAGAACAGAGGAAAAUGGAACGGAACUGUGUUACCACCUUAGCUGUGGCUCCCUCUUCUCACUAGGCAAGAUGUUUGUUCUCUAAUCUUUUCUUUUCCCCCAAACCUGAAUGCAUUCAGGACGUUCAAUCACCAGGCAAAGCGGGCUCAGAGUACGUAUAUGUUAGAGAAGAUGCUUUACAUUUUCUUUUCACUUUGAAAUCGGCCUUCCUAUCUGCUGGGCUACAUGUCACAUCAAAUUACCCUGCAAAGAACCCCCUCCGCCAAAUCGCCAGGAUUUUAAUCUAAAAAAAAUAACGGAAGUGUGGGGCGCCUGGGUGGCUCAGUUGGUUGGGCGGCUGACUUCGGCUCAG